rnacentral:misc_RNA from 1 species
GAUGAAGAACGCAGCAAAAUGCGAUAAGUAAUGUGAAUUGCAGAAUUCAGUGAAUCAUCGAAUCUUUGAACGCACAUUGCGCCCGCCAGUAUUCUGGCGGGCAUGCCUGUUCGAGCGUCAUUUCAACCCUCAAGCACAGCUUGGAGUUGGGACUCGCGUUAAUUCGCGUUCCCCAAAUUGAUUGGCGGUCACGUCGAGCUUCCAUAGCGUAGUAGUAAAACCCUCGUUACUGGUAAUCGUCGCGGCCACGCCGUUAAACCCCAACUUCUGAAUGUUGACCUCGGAUCAGGUAGGAAUACCCGCUGAACUUAAGCAUAUCAAUAAGCGGAGGA